AACGAACGCUGGCGGCAUGCCUAACACAUGCAAGUCGAGCGCCCCGCAAGGGGCGCGGCGGACGGGUGAGUAACGCGUGGGAACGUGCGCUUUGCUACGGAAUAGCCCCGGGAAACUGGGAGUAAUACCGUAUACGCGCUACGGGGGAAAGAUUUAUCGGCAAAGGAUCGGCCCGCGUUGGAUCAGGUAGUUGGUGGGGUAAUGGCCUACCAAGCCGACGAUCCAUAGCUGGUUUGAGAGGGUGAUAAGGCACACUGGGACUGAGACACGGCCCAGCCUCCUACGGGAGGAAGCAGUGGGGAAGCUUAUCCAAUGGGCGCAAGCCUGAUCUAGCCAUGCCGCGUGAGCGAUGAAGGCCUUAGGGUUGUAAAGCUCUGUCGUGGGAGAAGAUAAUGACUGUACCCCAAGAAGAAGCCCCGGCUAACUCCGUGCCAGCCGCCGCCGCGGUAA
rnacentral:rRNA from 1 species